UCUCCUCUGUUUCGAAACAUAACUUCAGACUUGAUAAAUCACUAAAAUUUUAAAUCCAUUUAAAUAUUUUGGAAUUUUCCUUCGUGUGCUUUUCAUAUUACUGCAACUAUUUAUUUCAAAGGCCAUCCCAGAGUCUGGAAUUGGAGUUAGGUUUACGGCUGUGAAGAAGAGGGAAAUCACACAACCACGUUAUGGGUUAAGAAGCAUUGAUUCUCUGGCUGCUAUAAGGGGGUUCCUGUGUGGUUCGUUUGAUUGUUGGUCCAGUAGUAUUGCGACGCUGAAAUUGUGAAGAAAGGGUUGCAGUUUAGAGAACGUUUGGGGUUAAACAGCGUAUUUCUUUGGUUGCAAGGGGUUCUUGCGGUUACUGCAACUGUCAAACCAGGGGUAUUGCAACGGAGUUGAAACUCAGGGUAUAUGUUGUCGAAGUGCGUAGGGUGUUCGAAGCCAAACAUUGUCGAAGUGCAGAGGAGUAUUUUUGUUGUGGGGCCAUACUGACCAAUACUCAUAUCGAUGAAUUUAUUAAGAAUAGUCCCACGUCGGAUAAUUCAUGAACAUGAUAAGUGUUUAUAUAGUUGGGUAGAUUACCCCCUUAUGAACCGGUUUUUAGGAAUCCGUUUGCUGCACUAAAAAGGAGUUAAUGAUGUUGGUGUUACUGAUGAACUCUAUGUAGUGUUAAGAUAAUUUGUGAAUUAGUAUCAAUCAAUAAUUAUUAUGUUAUAUUUUAAUAUUAUCAAUCGAUAAUUAUUUUAUAUGAAAUUGUAGAUAAAAUUGACCCUGUGAUGGGUAGGGUCAAUUAUUAGUAAUUAACGCAUUUGAGAGGUCCUUACCCACUGCUAGGAGAUUAUAAAUUUGUUAUCCCAUUUAACAAAUUCAUACACUCACAUCCUCUCUCAAGUCCUUAGAAAUUGGGCAGUAAUACUCUCAAGUACCUGUUCGGGGUUUAUCGUGUGAAGCGACGAUAUUAUGGAGAUGAAUGCGAAUUCAGUACAAGAUGCAACUGUUGCUUCCAACCAACUAGCCAACACAGUCAACAAUGCAAAGAAAAAGAAAAAGAAGAGGAAGAGAAGAGCCAAGCCCGUAAUACAGACUGUGGAUUAAGAAUGUUUAGUAGCAGUGGUUUCUUAUGUAAAUAUAUCAUUUUGAAAAAUAGUGUGGUACAUGAUAUAUUGGUCUAUAUUCUUUGUUAUAUAAUUUUUACUUUCAUUUUUGUUUCAAAAGCACAACUUAUUAUAUUUAUAAGAGCCUUGUUAUAUUAAUGAAGUAUCACAUUUCAUGAUA